UGAGUACGAGACGCUACGGCGUUGAAGCAGUGUAUGUCAGACUUCCAAGAAAAGCUCGCAAUGUCAUAAACAAAUAAUGCCUGUACCAUAACCGACACAGGUGGGUAGGUAGAGUAUACUAAGGGGCGCGAGAUAACUCUCUCUAAGGAACUCGGCAAAAUGACUCCGUAACUUCGGGAGAAGGAGUGCCUUAUUUUUAUAAGGUUGCAAUAACAAGAUCCAAGCAACUGUUUACCAAAAACACAGGUCUCCGCUAAGUCGUAAGACGAUGUAUGGGGGCUGACGCCUGCCCAGUGCCAGAAGGUUAAAGAAGUUGGUUAGCAAUAGCGAAGCUGAUAACUGAAGCCCUGGUGAACGGCGGCCGUAACAAUAACGGUCCUAAGGUAGCGAAAUUCCUUGUCGGGUAAGUUCCGACCCGCACGAAAGGCGUAAUGAUUUGGAUGCUGUCUCGGAGAGGGGCUCGGUGAAAUAGACUUGUCUGUGAAGAUGCGGACUACCUGCACCAGGACAGAAAGACCCUAUGAAGCUUUACUGUAACUUGAAAUUGAAAUUGGACUUUACUUGCGCAGUAUAGGUGGGAGGCGUUGAUUUUAUUCUUGCGGGAAUUUAGGAGCCAUCAGUGAGAUACCACUCUGGUAAUGUUAGAUUUCUAACUUUGUAUCAUAAUCUGGUCAAAGAACAGUUUCAGGCGGGCAGUUUGACUGGGGCGGUCGCCUCCCAAACGGUAACGGAGGCGUACAAAGGUUUCCUCUGAACGUGUAGAAAUCGUAUCUAGAGUGUAAAGGCAUAAGGAAGCUUGACUGUGAGACCUACAAGUCGAGCAGGGACGAAAGUCGGUCUUAGUGAUCUGACGGUGCUGAGUGGAAAGGCCGUCACUCAACGGAUAAAAGUUACUCUAGGAUAACAGGCUGAUCUCCCCCAAGAGUUCACAUCGACGGGGAGGUUUGGCACCUCGAUGUCGGCUCAUCGCAUCCUGGGGCGGUAGUACGUCCCAAGGGUUGGGCUGUUCGCCCAUGAAAGCGGUACGCGAGCUGGGUUCAGAACGUCGUGAGACAGUUCGGUCCAUAUCCGGUGUAGGCGUUAGAAUAUUGAGAGGAUCCUUCUUUAGUACGAGAGGACCGAGAAGGACAUACCUCUGGUGUACCAGUUAUCGUGCCAACGGUAAACGCUGGGUAGCUAUGUAUGGAAAGGAUAACCGCUGAAAGCAUCUAAGUGGGAAGCCUACCUCAAGAUAAGUAUUCUC
rnacentral:rRNA from 1 species